rnacentral:tRNA from 1 species
AGCCCUGUGGCUCAGUUGGUAGAGCAUGUUGUUUGCAACCCCAGGGUUGUGGGUUCGAUUCCCACGGGGGGCCA